UACGUAGGGCGCAAGCGUUGUCCGGAAUUAUUGGGCGUAAAGAGCUUGUAGGCGGUUUGUCGCGUCUGCCGUGAAAUUUCGGGGCUCAACCCCGAACUUGCGGUGGGUACGGGCAGACUAGAGUGUGGUAGGGGAGACUGGAAUUCCUGGUGUAGCGGUGAAAUGCGCAGAUAUCAGGAGGAACACCGAUGGCGAAGGCAGGUCUCUGGGCAUUAACUGACGCUGAGGAGCGAAAGCAUGGGGAGCGAACAGG
rnacentral:rRNA from 1 species